CACASACAAGUAGUUAGUGGGCCCAGGAACACAGACUGGUGGAGAURACCGAGGGCCCAAACAAGUUGGCUGCACCAGCCCACCUCCUCUGGGGCAGCCAUGCUUCAGGGAACCAACGGCUACUACCAGUAAAACAAUGAAGGAAGUAAAAGCCAGAGAGAUUUGUUAAGGGCUAAACACUAUUAAUGAGCCAAAUGCUGUUUUACAUCGUGUAAGAGCAGUCUCUUCACACUCUGAUUUUCUUCUAUGGGACUCCCUACAGAAUACAGCAGUGAUCACAGUGCUUUUGAAUGAGGCUGCUGGAUGCUCUAGAUCUGCUUACAUCAGACCCCAUCUGCCAUGAUCACAUGCUGGUCCUGACCAACAGUGAGAGCAGAGGCAUGAAGGUGUAACAGCAAGGAUGUGACUCCAUACAUCAUUGUCAUUAAUCGAUGUUGGGCACUGCUUGGAUACAUCAUCUAUUUUGUGC
rnacentral:lncRNA from 1 species